rnacentral:lncRNA from 1 species
UCUUAGAAAUCCAGCGAAAAAUACAAAAAAAAUGUAAAAUUCAAUAUAAAGAAAGGUGAAGUUAAGUGCAUAAGGAAGAGAGGAAGAAAAAGCAAUUAGAAAAAUUUUUCAAGAUUCCAACCUCAUGAGUACAGAUUCUUCUAUAUAUACACCCGAAUUGAGAAUAGAUUUGGUACCUUCCCAAGAUGCAUAUGAAAAAUUUGGUACCUGAGGUAUAAUCAUUGGAUAGAUUUGAUACCUUUUCGAGGUGAAUUUGAAAAGAUUUUAUACCUUUCCGAGUUGUAAAUAUGGGAUAGAUUUGGUACCUUUUUGAGAUAGAUUGAAAAGAUUUGGUACCUUCUCGAGGUGUAAUCAUUUCAUAUUUGAUAUGGGAGGGAGGAGAGUGAAGAAAUGAAGGGAGAAGAGGAGAAAGGAGGAACGAACACGUGUAUAGGAGGAACUGUCAAUUAGUUUAUUUAUAUGGAUAAUUAAAUGAAUUAAGAUGAAUUGCUAAACUGAACCAA